ensembl:lncRNA
UAAUAAUUAAUGUGCAAUAAUAACAGUGUGCAAUACACAUACACUUAUUCUUCUUUUUUAUACUAAGUUAAUAUACUGUGUUGUGUUGUUUGUUACGUUGUGAUGUGUCAUAUCGUGUCGUGUUGUGUUAUAUGUAGUGCCGACGUAGGACAGUUUUUCCAAUUUCAUUGUACUACUGUACUAUGUAUGACUGUGCAAUGACAAUAAAGAGUUAUCUUAUCUUAUCUUAAAACAACCAGACUGAUUGGUCAGAAGUGCUCGACAGGAUCACUUCCUGAACUGGCUGAUGUCCUUGCUACUGUACUGUGUUUUGAAUAAAUGCCACUUUCACUGACCUGUUGCUCUUUUUGCUGACAUUCUACUUUGGUUCUUGUGUCCACACAUCCUCUGGAGGAAGCUUGUGUCGUGCUUUUUCGCAGACUCGCAUUAUUUUGCUCGUGGCCGUAGGCAAAGGUGUGAUGCUGACUGCCAUACAAAUCUACAGUUCUGCCUUCAUACUCUGUCUUUACCACAGGGUACGGUUCUACUCUACUCUACUAUGUGAAGGCCUUGAAAUACUACAUCUCCUUCACAGGUGCAGCAACCUUCUGAGUGGGCUCUACCUGCUUCCAGCUGAUGGCUGAAUGAUGCAGCAGUCCUCCACCCAGCCUGCAGACAGACAUUAUUGCCUACAUGCUGUAGUUGUUUACUGUCACCAAGAGAAACGUGCCCCCUGCAGUCUCCCGUGUGAGCUUCUCCUGCUGUUUGAAGCCAUCUGCCCGUCUCUCCGCUGUUUCACAGAAGGCUCAUCUAACCUGUAGAGACGUCCGUCAGGUUCAUGCUGCCCCAGUGGAGCCAACGUGCUUGCUGCAAGAAGCAUGCGAUGUCACAGGAGGCACACCUUCACUCCGCAUUAUGUUUUUGUUUGACAAAAACCCACCGGUGUUGGAUUCGAUCAUUAUCCAGUCAGACAUCCCUGCCGUGGAUUAGCUCAGACAUAAACAAAGCAAAUAAACUUUCAUGGCCUGAUGUUGUGACAUCACUCACAAGGAGACACUUAAAGGUCUUAAUUUCUAAUCUAAAAGCAAAGUUUUGUUUUAGCAUCUCUGUAAAUCUGCAGACAUGGAGGGGGGCGACGAGUCAAUAAAUAUGCAAACGAGUCCAAAGCUCUGUGUUGGACAGCAUCACGGCACAGAUUUGAAACUCCUGACUGAUGCAGUGAGUGAAGGUCAGGUUGAUCUUUGUGUGGCUGCAAAGCCAACAAACCAUGCAUGUAACUUUCUAACUGCAGCACGUAAAAGGUCCAGUGCAUAAGAGCAAUUCAGACCUCAGCUUUGUAAAUAAGAGACAGAU